GGGAAGGGAAAGGCGGGGCCCAUAGGACUGUUGAGGAAUCAGCUCUAACUGAUGAUUGCCAAUGCAGAUAAAGCACUGGCAGAGUUUUCCAGCUUCUCAACAGAAGCAGAAGUCCAAGUGAUGAGGUUUAAGCUGCAAAGACGUAUUACAUAAGAACAAGGGAAGCUGCUUUAUGGCACGCUGGUGAAGGAUCCUGCUGAUUCCUCCUGAGCGGCUCUCGACUUCCUUUAUGGCAUCAAAGGCCCCAGAAACUGUUAGUGAAGAUGACGUGGAGGAGGGGAUAAUUUUUCUGUUUCCUGAGGUGCCGUUUCUCCUUGUAUGCUUGCUGUUUGGGAAGUUCCAGACCAUGACUGACUGGCCCCAUUGCUCUGGGCCUGUGGCACGGUAGCACAUCACAUUGGGAGCGUGUGGAAGAGCAAAACCACUCACCCCAUGGCCCGAAGGGAGGAAGAGGAAGGGGCUAAGGUCCCACAGUCCUCUUUCAGGGGACCUGACAACCUCUGGAUAGGCCCCACCUUUCAACUUCCGCCAUCUCUCAAAAGCACAUCUAACCUUUAACACACUGGGCCUCUCUCUGGGGGACCCUCAACAUCCAAACUAUAGCAGCACCUAAAUAACAACCUUAAGUAACCCACAGAUACUUCAGCUCCCCUUGCCCAAAUUAAUGACAUUCUCCAACAAAAUACAGCCCUGACCCCAUUAUCAAACCCUAAGUGGCUUUCAAAUAAUGCCCUAAGACCUUAUAAU
rnacentral:lncRNA from 1 species